rfam:Hordeum vulgare subsp. vulgare, WGS project CAJW01000000 data, contig: morex_contig_821632
UUAAUACUCCCUCCGUCCCAAAAUUAUUGUCUUAGGUUUGUCCAAAAAUAAAUGUACCUAAAUGUUAAAAUAUGACUAGAUACAUUUAUAUUUAGAUAAAUGUAAGACAAGAAUUUUGGGACGAGGGAGUAGAAC